CCGCGGCAGAAGGAGCGACUCCUCCUCCCCGACCUCCCGGAUGAGAUCGUCCUCUGGGAGAUUCUCGUCCGCCUCGACCCCAAAUCCCUCCUUCGCUGCCGGGCCGUCCGCUGCGGCUGGCGUUGUGCCACCUCUGCCCGCCGCUUCCUCCUCGCCCAACACGCCCGCCAACCCGCCUUACCUGUUUUCUCUAGCAACGGAUGCCAUAACUUCCUCGCCUUAGACCAUCGUGCCGCCUAGCUCCACACUGUCGCCCGGCAUGAUGAGCCCUUCUUUCUGGAGGCUUCUUGCGAUGGCAUCCUCCUCUCCAGGUCUUAUUCUGGCCGCCGCCUCGCCGUUUACAACCCGGCCACGCGUGAGCAUGCCUCCCUCAGGUGUCCACCGUGGGGCUUCAACAUCAUGGGGAUGUACGCACACCCACCUACCGGCGAGUACCGGCUGCUGCUGACCAACUUCUUGGUUCCUCAAGGCCAAACUGGAUGAUAUGUCCUUCCGCUUGGUUCCGACCAGCCACCAAGGUACAUUGGGUGGCUGGAGAUGGUAAAAGUGAUGUGCAUAGAGAUAUUUGCCCUCAUCCGUGAUAGCCUUCAUUGGUUCUUACUUGAGCAUAGAAAACAUAUAUUGGUAUUUAACACCACCGCCGAGUCGUUCCGGCACAUGCAUGCUCCACUUGUUCUUGGCGGCAGUGACCCUGGCCUGUUUGAGAUGGAUGGCACGCUCGACAUCGAUUGCCAUAAUGAUGCCAUGAAAAUCAUCAAUUGGGUGUUGCAGGAUUACGAAAGUAAGGUUUGGGACAUAAAGUACCGAAUCAAAUUGCCGGUUGGUGAAAUCAGGGACAAGUUUGGAGACAAUGGUGAAAGCUGGGGUUUGGGUGUUGGUGUUCUUUUAGGGGAUGGUGACAUGCUCUUGCUGCUCAAUUUUGGUGGGUGGCUGCUUCAAGUUGACAGUGAUGGCAAAUUGAUUGAAUGUUUCGAUUGUGGUCAUAGAGACCUUCGGAUAUAUGAAUAUCGGCUCAAACAAAGUCUUGUCCAGCAUACCUUCUUCCCGGCUGUAAAAAGUUAUGCUGGUAGUGCCUUGCCUUUGAUCUGA
rnacentral:rRNA from 1 species